UAGGGAAUCUUCCGCAAUGGACGCAAGUCUGACGGAGCAACGCCGCGUGAGUGAAGAAGGAUUUCGGUUCGUAAAACUCUGUUGUUAGAGAAGAACAGCGCAUAGAGUAACUGUUAUGCGUGUGACGGUAUCUAACCAGAAAGCCACGGCUAACUACGUGCCAGCAGCCGCGGUAAUACGUAGGUGGCAAGCGUUGUCCGGAUUUAUUGGGCGUAAAGCGAGCGCAGGCGGUCAAUUAAGUCUGAUGUGAAAGCCCCCGGCUCAACCGGGGAGGGUCAUUGGAAACUGGUUGACUUGAGUGCAGAAGAGGAGAGUGGAAUUCCAUGUGUAGCGGUGAAAUGCGUAGAUAUAUGGAGGAACACCAGUGGCGAAGGCGACUCUCUGGUCUGUAACUGACGCUGAGGCUCGAAAGCGUGGGGAGCGAACAUG
rnacentral:rRNA from 1 species